rnacentral:rRNA from 1 species
GACGAACGCUGGCGGCGUGCUUAACACAUGCAAGUCGAACGGUAAGGCCCUACGGGGUACACGAGUGGCGAACGGGUGAGUAACACGUGGGUGAUCUGCCCUGCACUUCGGGAUAAGCCUGGGAAACUGGGUCUAAUACCGGAUAGGACUCCGGACUAUAUUGUCUGGGGUGGAAAGCUUUUGCGGUGUGGGAUGGGCCCGCGGCCUAUCAGCUUGUUGGUGGGGUGAUGGCCUACCAAGGCGACGACGGGUAGCCGGCCUGAGAGGGUGACCGGCCACACUGGGACUGAGAUACGGCCCAGACUCCUACGGGAGGCAGCAGUGGGGAAUAUUGCACAAUGGGCGCAAGCCUGAUGCAGCGACGCCGCGUGAGGGAUGACGGCCUUCGGGUUGUAAACCUCUUUCAGCAUCGACGAAGCGAAAGUGACGGUAGGUGCAGAAGAAGGACCGGCCAACUACGUGCCAGCCGCCGCCGUAA